rnacentral:rRNA from 1 species
UACGUAGGGGGCAAGCGUUGUCCGGAUUUAUUGGGCGUAAAGAGCGUGUAGGCGGUUUGGUAGGUCCGCUGUGAAAACUCGAGGCUCAACCUCGAGACGCCGGUGGAAACCAUCAGACUAGAGUCCGGAAGAGGAGAGUGGAAUUCCUGGUGUAGCGGUGAAAUGCGCAGAUAUCAGGAGGAACACCGGUGGCGAAAGCGGCUCACUGGACCAUAACUGACGCUGAUGCACGAAAGCUAGGGGAGCAAACAGG